GGCAUUACACCGGAGGAGCGGGCUACAUUGAUGUUGUAGAAAAGAAGAGUUUAUCUUUAAUGCCU
rnacentral:tRNA from 1 species